GCAAGUCGAGGGGUAACAGGGAGCUUGCUCUGCUGACGAGCGGCGGACGGGUGAGUAACGCGUAGGAAUUUACCUAGCAGAGGGGGAUAGCCCGGGGAAACUCGGAUUAAUACCGCAUAGACUCUAAGGAGGAAAGGGGGCCACUUCAAGAAAGCUCUCGCUGUUAGAUGAGCCUGCGUUGGAUUAGCUAGUUGGUAGGGUAAAAGCCUACCAAGGCGACGAUCCAUAGCUGGUCUUAGAGGAUGAUC
rnacentral:rRNA from 1 species